GCGCCAGUAGCUCAGCUGGAUAGAGCAACAGGCUACGAACCUGUAGGCCGGGAGUUCGAAUCUCUCUUGGCGCGCCA
rnacentral:tRNA from 1 species